rnacentral:rRNA from 1 species
UACAGAGGUCUCAAGCGUUGUUCGGAUUCAUUGGGCGUAAAGGGUGCGUAGGCGGCCACGACAAGUCACUUGUGAAAUCUCCGGGCUUAACUCGGAACGGUCAAGUGAUACUGUCGGGCUAGAGUGCGGAAGGGGCAACUGGAAUUCUCGGUGUAGCGGUGAAAUGCGCAGAUAUCAGGAGGAACACCGGUGGCGAAGGCGGGUCUCUGGGCCGAUACUGACGCUGAGGUGCGAAAGCGUGGGGAGCAAACAGG